UCUGUACAGCUGGUGAAUGUCGGCAACUGACAUCACAAUGCUUCUGGGGGAUCGUCACAACCUAUUGAUAUUCACUCCAUCACAGGACUUGGAACAGUUUUGCUAGCAGAAAAUACGACUCUCUUCUAUGCUGUGGUAAAAUAGUACAACCACAAGGCCAGGAUCCAUAGAAUGUGACCAGCUGUUUCAGUGGUUUUCUGUUACUAUUUGUGAAGUCUUCAUUCUUGUCAUCUCUAGCAGAAGAGUGGUGCCAGUUGCCAGAGGUUUGAGGAAAAAGAAGUCAUGGGAGAAUUUACAUUUCAGAAAAUUCCAUUCAUUGACUUAAUUAUUUCUGGGAAUUCAGAAAAGACCACCAUGAUCCUUUAGCCGCGAAAACACUUGGGCCAGUUUUGGAAAUGCUAGAAUCCUGCAGGAGAAGCUUUUGAGAAAUUCAGUACUGUGCAGUGUUGUAACCCGAAUACUUUGCUGGAGAAAGGGUUACUGAGAGAUCAUAUUCACAAAUCAACGUGCAAUAGUGAAAAAAGAUGGCAACACUGAAGAACCUUACUGAAUAACCCAGUAUGGACCACGUAUUGUAAUAGGCACUUAAUUUCUCUCAAUCCUUUCGAUAUCUCCUUGAAAUAGGGGAUUACAGGGAAGGUCAUAUGAUAGCUGCUUAAUAAAAUUUGCUGAUCGAAUGAAGGAGCUAAUGAAUUCAAUAAAAUCAGGGAAGGCUUCUUGGAGGAGGAGCACCUUGCUCCAGUGGGCUGAGAAGACAUUCCAUGAGACCAGAGCAAGGAGAGGAGUGGCCUGGCAGCUGAAGCCAGAGACAGACUUGAACCUGGAGGAUCUUCACAUCAAACCUAGGAGAAAGGUACUAUUAUCAUCUCUAAGUUACAAAAAUGGGAACUGAGCCACCAAAUGGCUAAGUGGUUUGCCUAAGAACACAGCGCUGGGCAGACAGAGGAACCAGGGGACUUAGGCCUUGCCAAGGAGGUGACAGUUGGACUGGCCUGGAGGGACUGGCCUGGAAAGAACAGCUACAGUAUGGCCACAGGUGAGCCUGGUUCCGGGAUGGCCAAGGAGGCCCAUCUCACCAGACCUGGCCCUGAGAAACUUCACCAGCAAGGCUUUCAAAUCGGGUGCGUGAUUGCUACGACGUGAGUUCCCUUCCAGUAGGGCCUGCAGCUGCUCUGUCCUCCUGGAUGGAGAAUCUGACUCCAACUCAGCUUCCCAAACCACACACAAUUCCAAUAUUAAAUCCCCCCAGGUCACACAGCUGUGUUGUCUGGGUGGUGGCUGAACCAGGAUUCCAUCUCAGGUGUGUCUGAUGGCCAUCACGAUACCACUGUAAAGCUGAGCUCAUUGACUAACGCUUAGGAAGUGGAGGGCCUUACAUUCUAGAUUCCAACCUUCGCCUACAACAAAGGAAACUGCCGG
rnacentral:lncRNA from 1 species